AUUGAACGCUGGCGGCAGGCCUAACACAUGCAAGUCGAGCGCGAGGCGGACAGGUGAGUAAAAUAUGGGGACAGCGCGAUAGAGGGGGAGAAAUACUGGAAACGGGGGCUAAUACCGCAUAUUGUCGGAUAACGCCCAUGGGAGUAGCUAGUAGGUAAGGUAAUGGCUUACCUAGGCGACGAGCCCUAGCUGGUCUGAGAGGAUGAUCAGCCACACUGGGACUGAGACACGGCCCAGACUCCUACGGAGGCAGCAGUGGGGAAUAUUGCACAAUGGGCGCAAGCCUGAUGCAGCCAUGCCGCGUGUAUGAAGAAGGCCCUAGGGUUGUAAAGUACUUUCAGUCGGGAGGCGUUACCGACAGAAGAAGCACCGGCUAACUCCGUGCCAGCAGCCGCGGUAAUUC
rnacentral:rRNA from 1 species